rnacentral:rRNA from 1 species
CCUACGUGUGGCUGCAGUGGGGAAUAUUGGACAAUGGGCGAAAGCCUGAUCCAGCCAUGCCGCGUGUGUGAAGAAGGCCUUCGGGUUGUAAAGCACUUUCAGUGGGGAAGAAAGCCUUGGGGCUAAUACCCUCGAGGAAGGACAUCACCCACAGAAGAAGCACCGGCUAACUCCGUGCCAGCAGCCGCGGUAAUACGGAGGGUGCGAGCGUUAAUCGGAAUUACUGGGCGGAAAGCGCGCGUAGGCGGUCUGAUAAGCCGGUUGUGAAAGCCCCGGGCUCAACCUGGGAACGGCAUCCGGAACUGUCAGGCUAGAGUGCAGGAGAGGAAGGUAGAAUUCCCGGUGUAGCGGUGAAAUGCGUAGAGAUCGGGAGGAAUAACAGUGGCGAAGGCGGCCUUCUGGACUGACACUGACGCUGAGGUGCGAAAGCGUGGGUAGCAAACAGGAUUAGAUACCCCAGUAGUC